GGAUACAUGUUGAUGAGGCGCCUGGGUCUGUGAGAAAGCUUCAGGCCAGGAAAGCAGCAGGAAGACGGUAGGGUAGGGUAGAGGACCCUGGGCUGAGCCUCUGGACCUCUCAGAGUGGCCCCAGUGCACCCAGGACACGCCCCUCCCCACCCACUGACCACCCACCAGCUGACCGCCCCUGGGGCACUGUCUUCCGCUCAAGUGGGAUGAAGCACGCCCUGCUGCCCUCUCCGUCUGCUGGACCUGACAACCGCUCCCCCUCAGCACAUCAUUCCAGCUCCCCCCAACCCCGAUGAUGUGGAUUCACACUGAUGUGUGGGAAGCCUGAACCUGAGGAUGAGCCGACCCAACACCACAAUCGAGGGGUUUAAGCAACAGAGAUGGACUGUCUCCAGGAUCUGGGGAUUGCAAGUUGGAUUCGAGUUGCGGGCAGGUUUGGUUCCCUCCAAGGACUGGGAACGAAGGAUCUGCUCCGGGCUCUCUCCUUGCCUUAGAAACGGCCAUCUUCUCCCUUCACGCGCUUUUCCUGCUAUGCGUGUCAAUAUACAGAUUUCCCUGUUUUAUAAGGACACCAGUCACGUUGGAGUAGGGUCCACCCUAAGGACCUCAUUUUACCUGAUUCCCUCUGUCAUCUCCAAAUAAGGUCACAUUCUGACUCCUGGGGAUGCCAACAACCCACCCCACAGC
ensembl:lncRNA